GGGCAUAUAGCUGAACUGGUUAGAGUGCACGCACAAUAGGCGUGAGGUCGAUGGUUCGAGUCCAUUUAGGCCCA
rnacentral:tRNA from 1 species